UACGUAGGGGCCAAGCGUUGUCCGGAUUUAUUGGGCGUAAAGAGCUCGUAGGCGGUUGGGUAAGUCGGGUGUGAAAACUCCAGGCUCAACUUGGAGAUGCCACCCGAUACUGCUCUGACUUGAGUUCGGUAGGGGAGUGGGGAAUUCCUGGUGUAGCGGUGAAAUGCGCAGAUAUCAGGAGGAACACCGAUGGCGAAGGCAGCUCGCUGGGACGGUACUGACGCUGAGGCGCGAAAGCGUGGGGAGUAAACAGG
rnacentral:rRNA from 1 species